UGGAUGUUACAGGGACAGAUGAGACACAUGUGUUUAUCCGGUAGAGAGUGACUGAUCCAGGAAUGCUGCUAUCAAAGGCUUUGAAUCUUUUGUGAUGGAGCAGGGCUUGCAAGGCAAGGUGAAAAAAGGGAAAACCAAGCCAAAACAAAGACAGAAAGUUUACAGGUAGUCAUGCUCAUGGAGAGCAGGCAAACACAGCGGCACCCAGAUUGUUCUCCCGCUCUUGCUUCAAGGUUGUGUGGUUCAGGGGGACGUCAUCAUGGUCUUCCUCAUCCUCUGGCUCAAUGAUGUCCCCAUUGAGAAGAGUGAGAUUACACGCAGCACGCAAAAACUUCAGGCAUGAAGGCAGGGCUCACCUUUAAAGCCUGAAGAAAAUAGAGCGCCAGCGUGUUUUCAGCAUGCCAAAGGCUUGCUCUACUCUGCUUCACACAGGAGUGGUUGCUGUUGAAACAAGCUGCACAGUGUUUUAUAAGGCUUUUUCCCAUCCAUGACCAGAUUCCAGUCUGACUGCAGCAAUGAGGGUUGAAGGCAGGUUAAGGUGGACACGGUGGUCAGAUGGCAGUAGGAUGUGGGCUUCACCGCCU